rnacentral:rRNA from 1 species
CGCACAAGCGGUGGAGCAUGUGGUUUAAUUGGAAGCAACGCGCAGAACCUUACCAGCCCUUGACAUCCUGUGUUACCCGUAGAGAUAUGGGGUCCCCUUCGGGGGCGCAGAGACAGGUGCUGCAUGGCUGUUGUCAGCUCGUGUCGUGAGAUGUUGGGUUAAGUCCCGCAACGAGCGCACCCCUCGCCCUUAGUUGCCAGCAUUCAGUUGGGCACUUUAAGGGGACUGCCGGUGAUAAGCCGGGAGGAAGGUGGGGAUGACGUCAAGUCCUCAUGCCCCUUAC